GCCCUGUGGCCUCAAGCGGGAUCUGUUACAGUUCGGCCAUGCUGAGGAAAAGUCAUGGGGGGACAGGAGACGCCUCCCUUGCUGUUGUACUGAAAAAUG